AGAGCGAACGCUGGCGGCAUGCUUAACACAUGCAAGUCGCACGGUCAGCAAUGGCAGUGGCGGACGGGUGAGUAACACGUAGGAAUCUAUCCCAGGGUGGGGGACAACAGUGGGAAACUACUGCUAAUACCGCAUGAUACCUGAGGGUCAAAGGCGCAAGUCGCCUUGGGAGGAGCCUGCGUCUGAUUAGCUUGUUGGUGGGGUAAAGGCCUACCAAGGCUACGAUCAGUAGCUGGUCUGAGAGGAUGAUCAGCCACAUUGGGACUGAGACACGGGCCCAAACUCCUACGGGAGGCAGCAGUGGGGAAUAUUGGACAAUGGGCGAAAGCCUGAUCCAGCAAUGCCGCGUGUGUGAAGAAGGUCUUCGGAUUGUAAAGCACUUUUGGCAGGGACGAUGAUGACGGUACCUGCAGAAUAAGCCCCGGCUAACUUCGCGCCAGCAGCCGCGGUAA
rnacentral:rRNA from 1 species